rnacentral:rRNA from 1 species
GACGAACGCUGGCGGCGUGCCUAAUACAUGCAAGUAGAACGCUGAAGGAGGAGCUUGCUUCUCUGGAUGAGUUGCGAACGGGUGAGUAACGCGUAGGUAACCUGCCUGGUAGCGGGGGAUAACUUUUGGAAACGAUAGCUAAUACCGCAUAACAGUAGAUAUCGCAUGAUAUCUACUUGAAAGGUGCAAUUGCAUCACUACCAGAUGGACCUGCGUUGUAUUAGCUAGUUGGUGAGGUAACGGCUCACCAAGGCGACGAUACAUAGCCGACCUGUGAGGGGGGGCGGCCACACUGGGACUGAGACACGGCCCAGACGCCUACGGGAAGCAGCAGUAGGGAAUCUGCGGCAAUGGACGGAAGUCUGACCGAGCAACGCCGCGGGAGGGAAGAAGGUUGUCGGAUCGUAAAGCUCUGUUGUAAGAGAAGAACGAGUGUGAGAGUGGAAAGUUCACACUGUGACGGUAUCUGACCAGAAAGGGACGGCUAACUACGUG